rnacentral:rRNA from 1 species
CCCUUAGAUGUUCUGGGCCGCACGCGCGCUACACUGAUGCAUUCAACGAGCCUAUCCUUGACCGACAGGUCCGGGUAAUCUUUGAAUCUGCAUCGUGACGGGGAUAGAUUAUUGCAAUUAUUAAUCUUCAACGAGGAAUGCCUAGUAGGCGCAAGUCAUCAGCUUGCGUCGAUUACGUCCCUGCCCUUUGUACACACCGCCCGUCGCUCCUACCGAUUGGGUGUGCUGGUGAAAUGUUCGGAUCGGCCGUUUGUCGCGGUUUCCGCGGCUCGUGGCUGAGAAGUUCAUUAAACCCUCCCACCUAGAGGAAGGGGAAGUCGUAACG